UAAUGCAAUGAAAUUCUUUGUCUGAAACUGUAAUUUCAAGUCGAUUUUCAAAAGCAGUUUGCAGAUGUGUUCGUAAAAUAAAACAACAAAUGAAACAACCCCCAAAAAAAGUAGAGGUGAAAGAAGAUACUGGAUGAGUUCACAAACAAAGAUGGACAAUUGUGAAGUAUCUUUUUAAACAUUUUGCAUCACAGAACUCAAACAAGAAUGCAGAUCUCCAUAAUGUGCAUUUGAAAAAACCAACCGUUCCUACAGGUUCUUCUACCUUUAGGUUUGAACAUACAGCCAAGGGAUGACAUCAUGUUCGCUGCAGUCGGAUCCCCUUAUCAUCUACUGUACUCAUCGGUUUUCAGUGCACGCAUUACUCAAAUGGCCUGUGACUCGACUGAACCUUGGACCAGAAAUAACUGCACCCUUCUCACACACACGGACAGACACACUUACUGUCACACAACAAAAUCAUUUUAGUGCUGUUUCAGGAAGAAGCUGAAAACCGUAGGAUUUCCUUCAACGAGUUUUGAAAUCAAAACAAUAAGAAUAAUAAAUAACUAGUGCUCAUGUUAAAGGAUGUGAGAGUGACCGUUGACCAAACCAGUAGCAGCGACAGUCAUUUGACUAGUCAAACAUGUUUAGCGCAGUAGCUUGGCACGCGUGUAUCAUAUUCAGUCUUUCAACUCUCAAUCAUUUUUUCGCUGCUUGACUUUUUCCUCCUGGGGCCUUGUUGACUGCUGUGGACCGGACAGGUGGCAUAGCAUGUAGCAGAGCUGGCCAUUUACCAUCCAAUAAAAAUAGCUGCGGUCUCCAUGAUGUCACCGGCACGUCCUCGGUCGUCCUUGUUGUUGUGUCAUCUCAAAGAAGCACUUCAACUCAACACUGGAUCAGGUUUCAUCCCCAGAAGGAGUUCCCACCGGUUUAGUCGCAUCUGCAGAGGUUAAUCUUUUGAGUCAUGAAAAAGUAAAUGAUCAGACUCUUGAAAGACCACUUUGCUCACACCAGCCACCACUAACACUGCCAUCUUCAGCCAGUUGUACUGGCCACAGAAGCCAGAAAGGGUGGACAAACUAAAGCCGGAGUCUGAUCUCACUCCCAUGCCUGGCAUUCUGAAGCCGCAACACCAUGCUGCCGAUGUGGAACCCGAUCACUCAUAAAUCUCCCCUGUUUGACCAUGUGACAUGCCAAAA